GUGCUCUCAGUGGUAGUACAUGUACUAAAAUUGGAAUGGUACAGUGAAGAUCAACAUGGACCCAUGCAAGGAUGACACACAAAUUCAUGAAGUGUUCCAUAUUUUU